ensembl:snRNA U6 U6 spliceosomal RNA
GUGCUUGUUUCUGUGGCACAUAAACUAAAAUUGAAAUGAUACAGGGACGGUUAACAUGGCCCCUGAGUAAGGAUGACAUGCAAAUAUGUGAAGAGUUCUAUAUUUUU